GGAAUACGCUCUGUUGUACCGACACUCUUCUUGAGAUCUGACGCUAAGUUUGAGCCCACAAAUGGCAGAUUUUCAAAGACUGUCAACAAGGGGGAUGUGAACGUUACGGUUGAUUUUACUGAGGUUACUCCUAGUGGGAC